AUGGUGGUGGCCGGGGACUUCAACCUCAUUAGGUGGGCUUCUGAUAAAAGCUCUCCUAAUGUUGAUCGUGUCCGCAUGCGUCUAUUUAAUGACCGCAUUGCGGAUCUUGCUCUUCGUGAGAUAGCUCGCGUAGGGGCUAGGUUCACGUGGACAACUAAGCAGGCGGACCCCAUCCGGAGUGUUUUGGAUCAGGUAUUUGUGUCCGCCCAGUGGGAAGUGAUGUUCCCAUUGAGCUCUCUCAAGGCGGUUACUCGGAUUGGCUCUGACCAUACCCCCUGCUUUUCUCUUCAGGGGAUGAUGCCCCCCCAGAACUCGUCGCUUCCGCUUUGA
rnacentral:rRNA from 1 species